rnacentral:misc_RNA from 1 species
GGAAGUAAAAGUCGCAACAAGGUCUCCGUUGGUGAACCAGCGGAGGGAUCAUUACCGAGUGCAAACUCAUAACCCUUUGUGAACCUAUAUCUGUUGCUUCGGCGGCUCGCUCUCGGGCGGGCCCGCCGGUAAUAUCAGUAUCUCUGUUUGAACCCGACGAUACUUCUGAGUGUUCUUAGCGAACAGUUAAAACUUUUAACAACGGAUCUCUUGGCUCUA